AACGAACGCUGGCGGCAGGCUUAACACAUGCAAGUCGAACGCCCCGUAAGGGGAGUGGCAGACGGGUGAGUAACGCGUGGGAAUCUACCCAGUUCUACGGAACAACUGAGGGAAACUUCAGCUAAUACCGUAUACGCCCCAAGGGGGAAAGAUUUAUCGGAAUUGGAUGAGCCCGCGUUAGAUUAGCUAGUUGGUGGGGUAAUGGCCUACCAAGGCGACGAUCUAUAGCUGGUCUGAGAGGAUGAUCAGCCACACUGGGACUGAGACACGGCCCAGACUCCUACGGGAGGCAGCAGUGGGGAAUAUUGGACAAUGGGCGCAAGCCUGAUCCAGCCAUGCCGCGUGAGUGAUGAAGGCCUUAGGGUUGUAAAGCUCUUUUGCCGACGAAGAUAAUGACGGUAGUCGGAGAAGAAGCCCCGGCUAACUUCGUGCCAGCCGCCGCUGUAAGAC
rnacentral:rRNA from 1 species